UACGUAGGGGGCUAGCGUUGUCCGGAAUCAUUGGGCGUAAAGAGCGUGUAGGCGGCCCGGUAAGUCCGCUGUGAAAGUCGGGGGCUCAACCCUCGAAAGCCGGUGGAUACUGUCGGGCUAGAGUGCGGAAGAGGCGAGUGGAAUUCCUGGUGUAGCGGUGAAAUGCGUAGAUAUCGCUUGGAACGCCGACGGUGAAAACAGCUCGCUGGGGGUGUGCCGACGCUGAGACACGAAAGCCAGGGGAGCGAACGGG
rnacentral:rRNA from 1 species